rnacentral:lncRNA from 1 species
CUUGUUGUUAGGAAUAUGGGAGAGGAACCAAAUCGCAAGCAGCACUAGCAGCGCUGAUUUGAUGAAGUCAAUGCUCUUCACUCCGGAGGGCAAACGGGGCAAAUGAGUACUUGUUGGAAAGAUCUCGUCGUCUACUUUCAGCUAUGUGUGGCCUCACCAUCAACUUUGACCCAGGCUGCUCAGAAUGACGAAAAUAGUUCUUUACAUCAGAAACUUGGGCUUGGGCCUUGUAUCAUUACAGCCCAUUAGGGGUCCACAAAACCUAGGGUUUGCUCCCACCUCCUCUCCUGGUCAUUCCUCCACCUAUAUAAACUCCUAGCAGCCACCAUUUUGCACUUUGGGUUUUGUUUUGAUGUAAGUUUAGCUGCAGCUACUUCCUUGUACUCGCGUGUGUCGGCUAGACCACCCGGAUACUUGUAUUCAGAACCCCAUUUUGGUUUGUUUAAGUUUCAUCAUUUGACAAGUGCCGUGAGCUGUUUCCUUGUCAGCUUGUUCUUGCUUGUUCUUCGAUUGCUUGCAGGUUCAAGGUUGUUCUUGGCACGGCAAGAACAGCAAUAACGUGGAGUCGGUGUACCGGUUGCUAAGGCGCAGCACCCCUGUGGUAGUUGUAGUCGGACCGCCAACGUCGUAUCCUUCCCCAAAUCGAAGUUUAUCCUCCUCUCAUCGAAAGAUCGGGAACCCCCGUUGCUGCAUCAAGUGGUAUCAGAGCUCAAGUUGCUCGGUGAGAGAUUUUAUCACUUCUUUGUUUUUACCUACAGCCCAAAAGAAAAACCACUAAAAUAGGUCAAACCCGAAAUCACCAAAACAUGUUGAGCCUUUGCUGUUUUACUUAGUCUUUGCUUGCUGAGUUUUCGAUUGCAUCGAUUGGUUGAGUUGCUGGUUCUAGUAGUUUAGUCCUUUAGAGUUUCGAGUUCUGCUCACGAAUUCGUCACCGCAAACACUUCCACCAUCACUUCAUUUAUCUUCAUCCCGCUGCCACCAUCACCACCAUAUUCACCACGAAAUCCACCUCCAACCCCACCAAAUUUCGUCCACCACAACCAGCAGCACCCUCAUCACCACAUCAGCCACCCCCAAAUGCAUUUAUUGCUGCCUCCACCAACAGCCAACCCUUUUGCAACUUUUUGAAGUGAAUCAGCCCUUCCCAAGAAAGCAUUUAAGUGCUCUCACUUUUGACUUGUUGGCUGAAUCAUGUAACUAGCCAACCAACCCAUCAUUACUUCUUGUUUUGACUUGUUGGCUGAAGCUUUGAGCUUGCUGUACAAAAAAAAAGAAAGAAAACAAAAAAAAAGAAAGAAAAAAAAAUCAGAAGUGAAGAGAAGGAAAAAAAAAGGAAGGGAAGAGAGGAAGUUGUUGUUGUUGCUGUUUUGUUUGUGUUAUUUUCGUGCUAUUUUGAGUGGCUACGCUUGUGACUAGCCUCGCGUCUCUAAAGGGUUUUGCCUAGGACCAGCACAAUACCAUCGUUGAAUGAUUAUUCAACUUGCUUUGAUUAAUGUGGUUCUAGCUGUAUCUUGAUAUUACUUGCAGCCACCUAUAGCUCCACAAAUUUUUAUCUACUAUAUCACAGGAUCGUGCUUGUUGUCGGCUCCGGUACUACUAACCGUUGUUGCUGUUCUUGUUGUUUGCCAACGCCUUUUACAUAACAAAGUAAGAACAUGUAAGAACUCGUUUGCACAAGUUUGGUAGAAGUGGAGAUGGACAACACCUAGCUCCAAUAGUUGAUAGGACAUAUUUCUUGUGAAUUGUUUCUUCCCAUUAACCAUGACAGGAGGAUCGGGGGAGCACCCUCAACAUUCACCACGUACGAGGGGCAUCAUACAACAUUUUGAGCGCCAAGUGAGGGAGCAUGCUGAAGGCCUUGAUGAGGAUGUUAGGGUCGCCAAUGAUCGCCUUGGUCAAUUGGAGGCUGCUCAAAUUGACACCAACUCCAAGCUUUCCUCAUUGGAGAGGUCCCUUGUGGCUGUGAACACUUCUCUUGCAGAUAUCUUGAAUACGUUGGAGAGAAUGGGCCAAGAUGGUCAUGAUGGAUCGGCUAGGCGCAACCACAAUGGCCAUGAUGCUAAUAGCAGCAUCGCAGCAAGGGAAGAACUGGAGUACGCUGCUGACACUGAGCAUGAUGAGGAGGUACUUGGUCGUCCACAAAGACAACUGCGCCGGCAGCGCCAUGGCAUGGGCGCUCCACCACGGCGGGAGGUACGUGAUAAUGAUGAUUCUUUAGGCAAGAUCAAGUUUACCAUUCCUUGCUUUGAUGGAAAAUAUGACCCUGAUGCAUAUCUUACUUGGGAGUUAGCCAUUGAUCAGAAAUUUGCUUGCCAUGAUUUUCCUGAGAAUAAACGUGUUAGCGCUGCUACUAGUGAGUUCACUGAUUUUGCAUCCAUUUGGUGGAGUGAAUUUGUUCGUUCCAAUCCAAAUAACACUCCCCAAACCUAGGAUGCAAUGAAAAGAGUCAUGCGAGCUAGAUUUGUUCCUUCAUAUCAUGCACGUGAUUUGCUGCACAAAUUGCAACAACUUAGACAGGGAAACAAAUCUGUAGAGGAGUAUUAUCAAGCUUUGCAAACAGGAAUGCUUCGUUGUGGAUUGGUAGAAAAUGAUGAUGCUGGUAUGGCUAGAUUCAUGGGUGGGCUGAACCGAGAAAUUCAGGACAUUCUAGCCUACAAAGAAUAUAAUUCAAUUAAUCGUUUGUUUCAUCUUGCUUGUAAAGCUGAAAGGGAAGUACAGGGACGAAGAGCUAGCUUUAGGACUAACAUUUCUGCAGGUCGUGCUAGCUCUUGCACAUCUUCUAACGCUGCUGCACCGUCAACUCGAGCAGCAGCACCAUCGUCCUCAAGCAACAAGCUGCGUCCCUCUACAACAAACUCUACACCAUGCCCGAGUGAACCAACAAGAGGGGUUGCUGCUACACCUUCCAAGAGCUCAUCAUCAGUAGCUUCAUCAGGAAGGACAAGAGAUAUUCAGUGCCUACGCUGCAAGGGCUAUGGUCACGUGCGCAAGGACUGCCCAAGCACUCGUGUAAUGAUUGUGAGAGCUGAUGGUGGGUACUCCUCCGCUAGUGAUUUAGAUGAAGAAACCUAUGCUUUGCUUGCAACUAACAAUGCAGGGGAAGGUGACGCGCCCCACCAAGAUGAGGAACACAUUGGGGCUGAAGCUGCAGAGCACUAUGAGAGCCUCGUGGUGCAGCGAGUGCUAAGCGCACAAAUGGAAAGGGCUGAACAGAAUCAGCGCCACACCUUGUUUCAAACCAAGUGUGUGAUCAAGGAACGCUCUUGCCGCGUGAUCAUAGAUGGAGGAAGCUGCAAUAAUUUGGCUAGUGCUGAAAUGGUGGAAAAACUUGCAUUGAGCACACAGCCACAUCCACAGCCCUACUAUAUUCAAUGGCUUAAUAGCAGCGGCAAGGUAAAGGUAACACGAUUGGUAAGAGUACAUUUUGCCAUUGGUUCUUAUCAUGAUUCAAUCAACUGUGAUGUUGUGCCUAUGCAAGCAUGUUCUAUGUUAUUAGGUAGGCCAUGGUAGUUUGAUAAAGAUUCUUUACACUUUGGCAAAUCCAAUCAAUACUCCUUUGUGCAUAAUGGAAAAAACUUGUGUUACAUCCUAUGUCUCCUGAAGUUAUUUUAAAGGAUGAACUUGCUAGAGCUAGCAAACAAAAAAAUCAGGAGCGUACUAGGAGUGAGCAUCUUAUUGCGGCUAAUGAACUUGAGAAGCAUAAGAAGAAACCCACCAACUCUGUUCAAAAUAAUAAAAAUGAGAUUAAGCUGAAGGGAUCUUGUUUCAUUGCAACAAAAUCAGAUUUGGAUGAAGUUGACACUGACACUGUUGUUUGCUAUGCUUUGGUUUGCAAAGAAACCUUAUUUCCAAUUGAGGAUACUCCUAUUUCUUUGCCUCCUCCGGUCACUAACCUUUUGCAGGAGUAUGCUGAUAUUUUCCCAAAGGAGGUUCCACCGGGGCUGCCACCAAUUCGAGGGAUUGAGCACCAAAUUGACCUCAUUCCUGGGGCCUCUCUGCCAAACCGUGCGCCAUACAGGACCAACCCGGAGGAAACAAAGGAGAUUCAGCGUCAAGUGCAAGAGUUACUCGACAAGGGGUAUGUACGUGAGUCUCUUAGUCCUUGUUCUGUCCCCGUGCUUUUAUUUCCUAAGAAAGAUGGCUCAUGGCGCAUGUGUGUGGAUUGUAGAGCAAUUAACAACAUCACAAUCAGAUAUCGUCAUCCUAUCCCUAAGCUAGAUGAUAUGCUUGAUGAAUUGAGUGGUUCACUUGUGUUCUCUAAAAUUGAUUUGCGUAGUGGUUACCACCAGAUUCGCAUGAAGUUAGGAGAUGAAUGGAAAACAGCUUUUAAAACUAAAUUCGGCCUAUAUGAGUGGUUAGUCAUGCCCUUUGGUCUCACUAAUGCACCCAGUACUUUCAUGAGCUUAAUGAAUGAAGUUUUACGUGCUUUCAUUGGCAGAUUUGUGGUGGUAUAUUUUGAUGACAUUCUCAUAUAUAGCAGAUCAAUAAAGGAUCAUCAUGGUCAUUUGCAUGCUGUUUUUGAUGCUCUACGAGAUGCACGUUUAUCUGGUAACCUUGAGAAGUGCACAUUUUGCACAGAUCGAGUCUCUUUUCUUGGCUAUGUUGUGACUCCGCAGGGAAUUGAAGUAGAUCAAGCCAAGGUUGAAGCCAUACAUAGCUGGCCGGUUCCAACAACGAUCACACAAGUGAGAAGUUUUCUAGUACUUGCUGGGUUCUACCGCCGCUUUGUGAAGGAUUUUAGCACCAUUGCAGCCCCAUUACAUGAGCUUACCAAGAGAAAUGUCACAUUCACUUGGGCUGCAGCACAAAGGAAUGCAUUCGACACUUUGAAAGAUAAGUUAACACACGCUCCUUUACUCCAACUUCCUGAUUUCAACAAAACUUUUGAGCUUGAAUGUGAUGCUAGUGGGAUUGGAUUGGGUGGUGUGUUGUUACAAGAAGGCAAACCUGUAGCAUAUUUCAGCGAGAAAUUGAGUGGGCCUAGUUUGAAUUAUUCUACUUAUGAUAAGGAAUUGUUUGCUCUAGUGCGAACAUUGGAAACAUGGCAGCAUUAUUUAUGGCCCAAAGAAUUUGUUAUACACUCUGAUCAUGAAUCUUUGAAACACAUUCGAAGUCAAGCAAAACUUAACCGUAGGCAUGCUAAAUGGGUUGAAUUUAUUGAAUCUUUUCCAUAUGUCAUCAAACAUAAGAAGGGAAAACAAAAUGUCAUUGCUGAUGCUUUAUCUAGACGUUACGCAAUGCUAUCCCAACUUGACUUCAAAAUUUUUGGCUUAGAAACAAUAAAAGAGCAAUAUGCGCACGAUGAUGAUUUUAAAGAUGUGUUGUUGAAUUGCAAGGAGGGAAGGACUUGGAACAAAUUCGUUCUCACCAAUGGGUUUGUGUUUAGAGCUAAUAAGUUAUGCAUUCCAGCUAGCUCCGUGCGUAUGCUAUUAUUGCAGGAAGCGCAUGGUGGAGGGCUGAUGGGACACUUUGGUGUGAAGAAGACGGAGGAUAUCCUUGCUGAUCAUUUCUUUUGGCGUAAGAUGAGGAGAGACGUGGAGAGGUUCGUUGCUCGCUGCACAACAUGCCAAAAAGCUAAGUCACGCCUUAACCCUCAUGGUUUGUAUAUGCCUUUGCCUGUUCCUAGUGUGCCUUGGGAGGAUAUUUCUAUGGACUUUGUUUUAGGGCUGCCUAGAACAAAGAAGGGGAGGGACAGUAUCUUUGUUGUUGUAGAUAGAUUUUCUAAGAUGGCGCAUUUCAUACCUUGUCAUAAGAGUGAUGAUGCUACACAUGUUGCUGAUUUGUUCUUUCGUGAGAUUGUUCGCUUGCAUGGAGUGCCAAACACCAUAGUUUCUGAUCGCGAUACAAAAUUCCUUAGUCAUUUUUGGAGAACCUUGUGGGCUAAGUUGGGGACUAAACUUUUAUUUUCUACUACAUGUCACCCCCAAACUGAUGGACAAACUGAGGUGGUGAAUAGAACAUUAUCUGCAAUGCUUAGGGCUGUUUUGAAAAAGAAUAUUAAAAUGUGGGAAGAAUGUUUGCCUCAUGUUGAGUUUGCUUAUAAUCGUUCACAACAUUCUACUACUAAGAAGUGCCCUUUUGAGAUUAUUUAUGGCCUUCUACCCCGUGCUCCAAUUGAUCUUUUGCCCCUCCCAACUUCAGAGAGAGUGAACUUUGAUGCAAAAUAUCGCGCUGAAUUGAUGUUAAAACUGCAUGAGACCACUAAGGAGAACAUAGAGCACAUGAAUAUUAAGUAUAAACUUGCUGGGAGCAAAGGAAAGAAACAUGUUGCUUUUGAACCUGGUGAUUUGGUUUGGUUGCAUUUGAGAAAGGAUAGGUUCCCUAAUUUGAGAAAAUCUAAGUUGCUACCUAGAGCUGAUGGUCCUUUCAAAGUGCUACAAAAGAUUAAUGACAAUGCAUACAAGCUUGAGCUACCUGCCGAUUUUGGGGUUAGCCCCACGUUUAACAUUGCAGAUUUAAAGCCAUAUUUGGUAGAAGAAGAUGAGUUAGAGUCGAGGACGACUCAAAUGCAAGAAGGGGAGGAUGAUGUGGACAUCCCUUCCAACGAUACAACCACGCCUAUUGCACAGCAAGGACCAAUGACUAGAGCUCGAGCUCGUGAACUUAAUUAUCAGGUAAAGUCAUUCCUAGCUAAUCAUACAAGUUCUUCUCAGAAUUGGGUGCUACUAAAUGGUUGUUAUGAUUUACUUGUUGUUAGGAAUAUGGGAGAGGAACCAAAUCGCAAGCAGCACUAGCAGCGCUGAUUUGAUGAAGUCAAUGCUCUUCACUCCGGAGGGCAAACGGGGCAAAUGAGUACUUGUUGGAAAGAUCUCGUCGUCUACUUUCAGCUAUGUGUGGCCUCACCAUCAACUUUGACCCAGGCUGCUCAGAAUGACGAAAAUAGUUCUUUACAUCAGAAACUUGGGCUUGGGCCUUGUAUCAUUACAGCCCAUUAGGGGUCCACAAAACCUAGGGUUUGCUCCCACCUCCUCUCCUGGUCAUUCCUCCACCUAUAUAAACUCCUAGCAGCCACCAUUUUGCACUUUGGGUUUUGUUUUGAUGUAAGUUUAGCUGCAGCUACUUCCUUGUACUCGCGUGUGUCGGCUAGACCACCCGGAUACUUGUAUUCAGAACCCCAUUUUGGUUUGUUUAAGUUUCA